AGCAUAUACUGGGGCCAAGCAGUUGGGCUUGAGAGUCUUGAGCUGCCUGCAGAAAGUGUCCAGGAAAUUUGAGAAGAUGCAAGCAAAGCAUCGUGGUGAAAAGGAUGAAGAUGGGGAGAGAAUCUGGCACCGAUAAAUACAGGAUAUGAUUCUAUUUUAGUAAUCCCCUGAAGAUCAUCCUGCAGGUUUGCAGCACUUUUCUGGUUAGUUCUGUCUUUAUUUAUCUGUUAUAUCCCUUGUGCUGGGUAAAUCGACAUGUAAUUGAUUUUAGUUAAUUGCUGUGUAACACCACACAUUUACUUCUCUUCUUUUCUCAUUCAGAGAAAUUUUAUCUUCAUUUAUUUUAUACUUUAUUGAUACUGAUGCUCUUAAAUAUAUUACAUGUAAUCAC
rnacentral:lncRNA from 13 species